rnacentral:rRNA from 1 species
GACGAACCGUGCGAACGUUAUUCGGAAUCACUGGGCUUAAAGGGUGCGCAGGCGGAUAUGUAAGUCAGUGGUGAAAUCUCUAGGCUUAACCUGGAAAUUGCCGUUGAUACUAUAUAUCUUGAAUGCUGUGGAGGUAAGCGGAAUAUGUCAUGUAGCGGUGAAAUGCUUAGAUAUGACAUAGAACACCUAUUGCGAAGGCAGCUUACUACGCAGAUAUUGACGCUCAUGCACGAAAGCGUGGGGAUCAAACAGG